AGAGGAUGUUCUAUUGAAGGGUGUAGCUUUCCAGCUUUUAGGUUCAGAAGCAAUAAAGUAGCCUUCUGGGGAAACAGUUUGCUUGGCUGCCCUGUGUGACACAGCUGAUGGCCGCUCUCCUGCAGGGAUGGAGCUAAGCUGCAUGUGGCCCUACUGCCAGAAUACAGUGACCAUGCACCAGUGGGACCCAGCCAGCACAAGGCACAGCCAGGCCAGACAUAUGACUGACUUCCUCUGAGGAGGUAGAACAUGUGCGCUGUGGAGAAGCAGUAACGUACAGCCUGUCUGUUUCGCUGUGGCUCUCCUUUGUGUGUGGAGUCUGAGCCUGUGGUUCUGGUAUAAAGGGCUGGUCCAAGCCUGAGUUUAUCAAACUUCAGAAAAAGCAAGAAACUGGACUUAUUACCUCCACCUAUACAGCGCCUGAUUGCUUGAAGCAUGCUAGCCACAAGUCUUCUCUGUCGUACUACCUUCUGCUAAGAUCUGAUGGCACAUAAGCCUUGCUGCUCUCGCAAGUAGAAACCAGGUUGGGUGCUUUCAUCUGCCCUCUUUUGAAUUGCAUCAAUUCCAAUUACAAGCCAGAAAGAGGAGGAAAUGGAGGAGAACUGCCCACCACGCUGUGUCACCUGUGGCCAGGUACAUUUACCAGAGGAAAACCACUUGUACAGCUACACUGAGGAAGUGGAUGAUGAUCUGAUCUGCCACAUUUGCCUGCAACCUUUGCUUCAGCCAUUAGACACGCUCUGUGGUCACACCUUCUGCACUGCCUGCCUUACGAACUUCCUCUUGGAAAAAGACUUCUGCCCCAUGGACCGCAAGCUGGUGGCUCUCCAGAAUUGCAGGAAGUCCAGCAUACUGGUGAAUAACCUCCUGGACAAGCUAAUGGUUAGCUGUCCUUUCACAGAACACUGCUCAGAGGUUGUGCAACGUGGUCACCUCGAACAGCAUUUCCAAACCAAGUAAGUUUUUGUUGAGGUGGUGAGGCUUUUUCAUUGCUCUGUCUUUUCCUUAAGGAGAUGGAAAAAUAUGAGCAAUUAACACUGAUUUAAAUAGACUGUAAAUGUAAAGACAGACUUAUCAAUUUCAGUCCCUGGGAGCACCUGUACUAUCAUGAGGUUAGAACUGAAUUAGUAUUUGAUGAUAUCUCACAUUUUUUUUAUCAUUAGCAGUUCUGGGCAGAUAUCUUGUGGUGAGCUGCAUAAUGGAAGCAUGUAUUUAGUCAUCCAAAGAGAUUUGUGAGUUUUGGGAAGCUGAGUUAUCAUAAAUA